CAAAUAAAACCCAAAGGUCGUCUGAACGUUUUCAGACGACCUUUUGCAAAGAUGCAACAGAUUAGGCGGCAGUCAAAUCUCGUUUGGAAAGCCGAAUAAGUUAACGUUGAUAUCGCUCCCGCCUUCACGCUGCGAAACCGCCGACAAACCCUUAUCCAAACAAAGGUUCUUGAAAAACCAUGAAAACCGCCAAAACCUCCCUACUGUUCGCCCUUCUGCUCGGACUGCUGCCGGCAGCAUACGCCGAAGACUACGACGAUAAAACCUAUCAAAACCUGAUCACGCAAUGCACGCGUGUCUGAAGAAGGCCUUCGGGUUGUAAAGGACUUUUGUCAGGGAAGAAAAGGGCGGGGUUAAUACCCCUGUCUGAUGACGGUACCUGAAGAAUAAGCACCGGCUAACUACGUGCCAGCAGCCGCGGUAAUACGUAGGGUGCGAGCGUUAAUCGGAAUUACUGGGCGUAAAGCGAGCGCAGACGGUUACUUAAGCAGGAUGUGAAAUCCCCGGGCUCAACCUGGGAACUGCGUUCUGAACUGGGUAGCUAGAGUAUGUCAGAGGGGGGUAGAAUUCCACGUGUAGCAGUGAAAUGCGUAGAGAUGUGGAGGAAUACCGAUGGCGAAGGCAGCCCCCUGGGAUAAUACUGACGUUCAUGCUCGAAAGCGUGGGUAGCAAACAGGAUUAGAUACCCUGGUAGUCCACGCCCUAAACGAUGUCGAUUAGCUGUUGGGCAGCUUGACUGCUUAGUAGCGUAGCUAACGCGUGAAAUCGACCGCCUGGGGAGUACGGUCGCAAGAUUAAAACUCAAAGGAAUUGACGGGGACCCGCACAAGCGGUGGAUGAUGUGGAUUAAUUCGAUGCAACGCGAAGAACCUUACCUGGUCUUGACAUGUACGGAACCUUCCGGAGACGGAAGGGUGCCUUCGGGAGCCGUAACACAGGUGCUGCAUGGCUGUCGUCAGCUCGUGUCGUGAGAUGUUGGGUUAAGUCCCGCAAUCGCCGCGAGAAUGCUUGCCUUCGGGAGACCUUUCAUCUUUAAGAUGCGUCGUGCGCCAUCGGCAGGAUGCUUCUUCAUGAUGUCGAACUCACUGUUGCUCAGGCUGCGGUUCUUGGUGAGGAUGUCUGUGUGUACCUCGAUCUUCCCGAGGUCGUGCAGCAGUCCGCCGAGCGUAAUGAGAGACAGAUCCUCUUUUGGCAGGUGACAGAGCAUCCCCAUCAUCGCCGAGAGGACGGCGACGUUGACACUGUGUGCAAAUGUGUAGGCGUCGUGUGUGCGGAUGUCCGUAAGCUGCACAAGGUUUUCAU
rnacentral:rRNA from 1 species